CAGUAGCCGCGGUAAUACAGAGGGUGCGAGCGUUAAUCGGAUUUACUGGGCGUAAAGCGUGCGUAGGCGGCUUCUUAAGUCGGAUGUGAAAUCCCUGAGCUUAACUUAGGAAUUGCAUUCGAUACUGGCAAGCUAGAGUAUGGGAGAGGAUGGUAGAAUUCCAGGUGUAGCGGUGAAAUGCGUAGAGAUCUGGAGGAAUACCGAUGGCGAAGGCAGCCAUCUGGCCUAAUACUGACGCUGAGGUACGAAAGCAUGGGGAGCAAACAGGAUUAGAUACCCGCGUAGUCCCUGUCUCUUAUAC
rnacentral:rRNA from 1 species